rnacentral:rRNA from 1 species
GACGAACGCUGGCGGCGUGCUUAACACAUGCAAGUCGAAUGGAAAGGCCUGCUUUCCCUUGUGGAUUGCGGGUACUCGAGUGGCGAACGGGUGAGUAACACGUGAGUGAUCUGCCCCCAACUUGGGUAUAAGCCUGGGAAACUGGGUCUAAUUCCCGAUAGGACUGCAGGGUGGUGCCUGUGGUGGAAAACGAUUUUCUAGUGGUUGGGGAUGAGCUCGCGGCCUAUCAGCUUGUUGGUGGGGUAAUGGCCUACCAAGGCGGCGACGGGUAGCCGGCCUGGGAGGGUGGACGGCCACAUUGGGACUGAGAUACGGCCCAGACUCCUACGGGAGGCAGCAGUGGGGAAUAUUGCACAAUGGGCGGAAGCCUGAUGCAGCGACGCCGCGUGGGGGAUGACGGCCUUCGGGUUGUAAACUCCUUUCGACCGCGAGGAAGCCACCUGGUUGGAAGGGUGGUGACGGUAGUGGUAGAAGAAGCACCGGCUAACUACGUG